GAAAUGCGAUACGUAGUGUGAAUUGCAGAAUUCAGUGAAUCAUCGAAUCUUUGAACGCACAUUGCGCCCUUUGGUAUUCCAAAGGGCAUGCCUGUUCGAGCGUCAUUUGUACCCUCAAGCUUUGCUUGGUGUUGGGCGUCUUUUGUCUUUGGCCUCGCCCAAAGACUCGCCUUAAAACGAUUGGCAGCCGGCCUACUGGUUUCGCAGCGCAGCACAUUUUUGCGCUUGCAAUCAGCACAAGGACGGCAAUCCAUCAAGACUACAUUUUUACGUUUGACCUCGGAUCAGGUAGGGAUACCCGCUAAACUUAAGC
rnacentral:misc_RNA from 1 species